UGUUGACGUGAGCGGAGAGGAGGCUUCGAUCCGGACGCUCCGUGGGAGGCGUUCCCGCCUACUCUCCAGACUCGCGCCCGGCAGAUGCUUACGACCAAGAUGGCGCACAGCCUUUUUGUCAAACAAAAGUCAAGGCCAAGGGAAGGACAUCAAGCAUUAUGAAGGAAGAGAUAUGAAAAGAGGAACCCAAGUCCCACCAGAACAAAGGCUCCCUCCAAGGCCCCGGGGCACCCACUGAUGACCAGACGGGGAGUCUUCACAGACAGCUGUUGCUUCCGCCUCGGCAGGUCUGAGGCCCUCAGUGAUCUUCGGUCCCACACGACCUUGCCUACUUCCCAGCCUCGCUUCAAUCAAAACGCCCACUGACUGAAGGUGAUUGUUCUCUGUUGGGAAGAAAGAAACCUCGUGAUUUGCAGUUUCAGUCACACGGCAGGUGAAGGAGAGCAGGUAUUAGCAGUUUAAACAUCGAAGCUCAAGCACCUUCAC